rnacentral:lncRNA from 1 species
AAAUUUUCAAAUGAAUGGUUUAAUCAUUAAAGUUAUUAGGCAAAAUCAAUGGGAAACUGUUUUAGGCAAAGAAAGUUUGAUUCCAUUUUGGUUUUGUUGUUGUUGUCAUCAUGGAAAAUUCUACCCUGUUAUCAUUUUAAAAUUCCUCAUCUCUCUUUGCUUCAAUGCUAUAAUUGCUAUUUCAUUGACUGGUUACAGCCUCAGAAGCUGGGUUGUUACCAUCUGCUUUAGCUUUCUAGAACUGCUGUAACAAAGCACUACAAACUGAGCGGCUUAAACAACAGAAAUUUAUAGUUUUGCAGUCAUAGAGACUAGAUGUCCAGACCUGAGGUUUUGACUGUGUUGGUUCCUUCCGAGGCUAUGAGGAAACAAUCUGUUCCAAGCCUCUCUUCUUGGCUUAUAAAGGGCCGUCUUCUCCCUCCUUUGUGUCAUUUUUCUUUAUGCAUGUCUGUUUCUGUGUCAAAAUUUUUCCUUUGUAUAAGGACGCCAAUCCUUAUGUAAGGAUGUUGGAUUAGGGCUCACCCUAAUCCCCUCAACUUGACUUAACAAAUUAUGUCUUCAAAGAUGUUAAGAUAGAGAGAUAGAGAUUGAGAGCCAUCUAUACUUACAUAGAGAGAGCUCUAUAGAUAUAGAGAUAGAGAUCUAUCUAUCUGUCUAUCUAUCUAUCUAUCUGUCAUCUCUCUAUCUAAUUGAAAGAUGAUAGAGAUCUCCUGUUGGUUCUGCUUCUCUGGAAAACCAUAAUACACUCAGUCACAAAAAAAAUAAAUAAAUAAACAAUUUUUUGUGCUCCAUAGACAACUUUUGAGCAAAGCAUAUCUGCUCUGCCUCCAUGUAGUCAUAGCAAAGGGCGAAUUUCUACUCUGAGGGACAGUGGAUGUCUUUUCCCUCUCUUUGAAGGAAGGGGUGGCUUAUCUGAUUCAUGAGUGUGGCAGUAGAGCCUUCAUUUCCCUUUGAGUGUCUUACCAGAGCAAGGAUUUGCUGAGUGAACUGCUGGCUGCCUGGUGGUCAGCUCAUGCACUUGGCCACAGUCAAGUGCAAGAAACCACCAGGGAGGGACAUUCUGACUUUUCUUGAUGUGACUCACAGUCACCAAAGGAGGAAAAGCCACUUACCUCAUCAAUGAGUUCAAGAGAAAGGACAAAAACAAGCUUAGCUCAGUCUUUCUGACAUUCUUUUAAAUGUUUCUGCCUGCAGAGAAUGUAUUUUUGUUUUGUUUUUUAUCUGUUCUCAGCCAUAUGGUGGUAUGGUUAAGGGCAGUCUUUGCCCCGCAGAGGUGGCCAACAUAUCUCUUGCUUUUUUUCUUAAUGACUAUCUAGGUAUGUUAAUUCUGGGUGAAGUGACGGAAAACCCAUUGCGAUUGCCUACUGAAGCUGUAUACUCUCAUCCAGUCUCUAUCAGUAGUAGAGUUGAUAUUUUGCUUCCAUGCUUUCUGACUUCUGUGACUUAUCUCUCAAUUAUUUCUGUACACAAGAGGGGAAGAAAAGGUGCAAUUUUUAUCAACCUAUAGCUCCUAGUACCAAGAAUAUAACAAGUUAGAAUUUUUUAUUUUCAUUGUUAUUGAAUUUGUCCUACUACCCAUGUAAUAAAUAUUAAACAGUCUAGCCUCUUAUCCAGUACCUGUGAGAGCAGAAUUAAUAUUUUUUCUUUUUUCUUUUUUAAUCACUUCCUAUUGUACAAUCUGUGACUUAAACUCAGUUCCAUGUAAUUUCACCUGCAUUUUAUAAUCCACUCUUUGCCUCCUCUACAUGAGAAACUCAUUCGCCUCCCUUUCUUUGGCGAGAGACCAAUUACUAGCUGAGAGCCACUAGGAAGAUUCUCCUCCUAAGAAGAAAAUGUGCCUUGUAAGAUGAUCAAGAAAAACUGAUCAUUAUGAGAAGUGAGUACAUUACUCUAUGCCUCUCUUCUGAUGAAGCGUUAAAAUAUAUAUUAGAAUCUCAAAAGUUGCAAGAGAUCCUACAACAAAGGAACAAACUUAGUGUUUAAUCUAGCAGUUUCCAAAUAUUCUUCACAGUGGGAGAUUUUGUUUGUGUGUUUAUUUGUUUGUGUUCUCCUAUGACAUUAUCAUCUCCCACCUCAGGGAUUUUGCUCUGACUGUGGUCCUGGGCCUUGCUCCAGUAUCCACUCUGGUAACUAUCAUCUGAUUUACAAUGCAUGCCUUUGGUUAUCUUUUUGCUUUUUUAUUUAGCACUGUUCCUCACUAAACAGUGAACUGCACAAGAGCAGAACUUUAUGCAUUGAGUUUUCUACUUUAUUACCAAUAUUUGCAAACAUGCCUUUCGAUAGCAAACAUUGAAACAAAGGAACCAAUCUCAAAAGAAUAAAUUUUUUAUGGAGUAUUCAUUAUCCAGUGCUUUUCUUUCUUAUUUUUAUAUUUCAAAUACUACUAUGUUAUAUCUGAUUAAGUGUAUUUAAAUCUGUAUUUCAGCACUUCAGACUUAAAGUUAAUAGAGAAAAACCUUAGGUUUGAAAAAUUAUUUUAUUUCCUAUGCCUUCUUCCACA